GAAACAAACAGAAAGAUUUUUCUUACUGAUGCCGCUUUGUCAUCGUUUUUGAAAUUUUGAAAUUCAAAUUUCUCAUCCUUCAACUUUUGUCUCUCUUAAAUAUGAGUUCAGGCUCAUUCUCUCAUAACAGGAGUAUUCUUUUGUUAGUCAUAACUAUUUAUAUAUUUGUAGCUGAAGGUUAGAUGUAUCAGUUUUUGAUUGUAGAAGAUGUUACCAAAUCUCAUAAUAUUCGAGUCAAAGUGUUGAAAGCAGAAUGACAAAAAGACAGGAAGAUUGUGAAGUUUGCAAGGAUGAUAGCACUUCUUCGAGUGACAGAGAGACGGGAAAAUAGGUUGUAUGCAUGGCUGCACAACGGAAGAAGCCGACAAGCUGAAGCAAUUAAGGUGAUUUUGGUAUUAAAGUGAGCCUUAGCCAGCAAUCACCUCAAGUUCUGCAGAUUUAAAUGGAGAUCUACGAGACGAAGGUUCUGCUAUAAAAAGAGCAAGCUAUGGCAAGUGCAAAACUGGUAAGCGGGAAGGUUUCUUACAAUGAGUGCAAAUUAGACAAUCUCAAUUCUCACAAGGUGUCGAAAGCAGAAAAUAUGACAGCAAACUGAAAGUCGGUUGGUUUCUUCACACACCAUUUCCAUCUUCUCAAAUUCACAGGCUGAUGCCGUCUCGAUCAGAGCUGUUACGUGCCGUUCUUGCUGCUGAUGUAGUUGGAUUCCAUACCUAUGACUAUGCAAGGCACUUUGUUAGUGCAUGUGCUAGAAUUCUCGGACUGGAGGGUACACCUGAAGGAGUGGAAGAUCAAGGAAGGCUGACCCGUGUGGUCGCGGUUGGAGAGGAAUGAAGUUUGAAAUGAAAUAAGUAUGUGUAAAACAAUGUAAGUGUAACGUAGGGAUGAUAUAUUUAAGUAGGUGAGAUCAAAGUUGAUGAUGUAGCAGACAAUAUCGGUGAAUGAUGCGGGUGGGAGAGAAGAUCGAAUGCAUCUGUACACUAGAAUAUAGUGAUCAGAAGUUUUAGAAAGGCAUGAACGAAGUUAUGGAUGUUGUACUUGGAUGUUAAGAAAACAGACUUUACUCCCAAUCCUGUGAAUUUCAAAAGAUGGUAACAUAUAGUUUAGAUGUAAAAUAUUUGUCUCCCAUGUAAAUUUCUGUUUCGAUAUGUGUAUAAUAUAUGUGUCUGAAUGUUUGGAUUUUGAUGGGUCCAUUGUGUGGUUGUGUUUGUAGAUUGAGGGAGGGAGAGAGAGAGUUGCUAUAGGAACAGAAUGAGAGAGGUAUUGUUUGAUCUGAGUAGUUGAAAUUCCAGUAUUGUCAGUCUUGGACAGAGUUGACAGGAGCCAUUGAAGUUGACUCCAUGAUAGAGAUGAUCCCAUGAUCGAACUACUCAAUAAGCAGGUACGGUUGAAACAGGGAUGUUGCAGUGAACAAAAAUUCCCAUUGCAGAGUGUCCAUUUUUCAGAGUGGCAUAAAAUUCUUGCAAUGCACAUUCCAUU